GUUUGAUCAUGGCUCAGGACGAACGCUGGCGGCGUGCCUAACACAUGCAAGUCGAACGGAGUUGAAAGGAGCUUGCUUUUUUCAACUCAGUGGCGGACGGGUGAGUAACGCGUGAGUAACCUGCCUUUCAGAGGGGGAUAACGUUCUGAAAAGAACGCUAAUACCGCAUAAGAUUGUAGUUUCGCAUGGAGCAGCAAUCAAAGGAGCAAUCCGCUGAAAGAUGGACUCGCGUCCGAUUAGAUAGUUGGCGGGGUAACGGCCCACCAAGUCGACGAUCGGUAGCCGGACUGAGAGGUUGAUCGGCCACAUUGGGACUGAGACACGGCCCAGACUCCUACGGGAGGCAGCAGUGAGGGAUAUUGGGCAAUGGGGGAAACCCUGACCCAGCAACGCCGCGUGAGGGAUGACGGUUUUCGGAUUGUAAACCUCUGUCCUCUGUGAAGAUAGUGACGGUAGCAGAGGAGGAAGCUCCGGCUAACUACGUGCCAGCAGCCGCGGUAAUACGUAGGGAGCAAGCGUUGUCCGGAUUUACUGGGUGUAAAGGGUGCGUAGGCGGAUUGGCAAGUCAGAAGUGAAAUCCAUGGGCUUAACCCAUGAACUGCUUUUGAAACUGUUAGUC
rnacentral:rRNA from 1 species